rnacentral:rRNA from 1 species
AUGGCCUCCGACGGACAUGUGGCCUCAUUGUUCCCUAACCACCAAGCCCUCGAGCUGAAAGACGACUGGGUCACCUACAUCACGGACUCCCCGCAGCCUCCACCCGAGAGAAUCACCUUCACCCUCCCUGUAACAAACUCGGCAUCAAACAUAGCGAUCCUAGCGACGGGCGUCGGCAAGGCAAACGCCGUGCAUUUGGCCGUGUCUGACAGCAGCGACGGUCCAGACGCCCCCGUGUCCCUGCGUGCCACGAUGGUCCAGCCAACGCACGGGAAGCCGGUGUGGUUUCUGGACAAGGCAGCAACCUCAUCACUCGAGGCGCUGUCUGACGGUGCUUACGAGCAGCAGCAUCGUGCGUACUAA